rnacentral:lncRNA from 1 species
ACAGUGAAGCCGGCUGUGACUCUGUCCCAGGCAGGUGCUGUGGGUUGUGUGGAAACUACAUUCAGACACUUCUGAUUUCAAAGCAAACUCUGGAUUCUGAGCAGAGCCUUGAGCUGAUUGCAGCAGUGCUCGUGAGAGUGACGUUGAAGAAUAUAAGUCUGCAGGCUAGAAUUAUGAGCAACCCAGCUGGAAUUUACAUGGCCUCUAGGAAUCAGAACUAAGGGCUUGCUUCUGCAGAGAAAGCUCUUUAACCACCAACCAAUUCAUUGCUGCAUUCCUAGAAGUAGCUGAGUCCUUUAAACUCAGGUUCUGGAGACUAAGGACGAUGCAAGCACCUCACCAGCUGGUCUAGAUUUCCAGGGCCAUUCUGCACACUUUCAAAACUUCCUGCGGUGCUGCAUAGACUGUGCACAUGAGAACAUUCUUAGGGUUGAGAACAUCUCCUUGGAAUGCAAUCUGUUUUGAUAGCAUGUGGAGACUGAUUUGAUAACUCACAGCAGCACACAUGAAUGUUUCAUUCAUUUUUCAUGGGGACAGUAACUUUUUUGGCUUACACAAUGCCCGGCUGCAAAGAGCAGGCCACAUCCAUCAGAGUGACAUACUGCAGAGCAAUGUGUUGCUUGGCACUGGAAGCAUGAAGAUCCGCCCUGUCCUAGAUGCACAGAGCACAUCAAAUAUGGAAGCAAAUGUUACUUGUGAUAGCUGUGAGAAUGUCCUUAGGGGUCUUCUAAACCCAGAGGCACACCCUUGGCUUGGAGAGUUAGACAUCAACUCUCUUUUUAAAAUUAAUUAAUUAAUUAAUUUUUUACAUUUCAUAUUUUAUGCCCCAGCCCCCCCCCCUUGUCCAACCUCUAACUGUUCCACAUCCCAUACCUCCUCCCCACCCCACCCCCUGUCCAACUGACCUCAAAACUUCCUGGGGCCUUCAGUCUCUUGAGGGUUAGGUGCAUCAUCUCUGAAUGAACACAGACCUGGAAGUCCUCUAAUGUAUAUGUGUUGAGGGCCUCAUAUCAGCUGGUGUAUGCUGCCUGUUUGGUGAUCCAGUAUUUGAGAGAUCUCGGGGGUCCAGAUUAAUUGAGACUGCUGGUCCUCCUACAGGUCCUCAACUUCUUUCAGCCUUUCCUAAUUCAACAACAGGGAUCAGCUGCUUCUGUCUGUUGGUUGGGUGUGAAUAUCUGCAUCUGGCUCUUUCAGCUGCUUGUUGGGUCUUCUGGAGUGUGGUCAUGCAAGGUCCCUCUUUUUGUGAGCACUCCAUAGCCUCAGUAAUAGUAUCAGACCCUGGGACAUCCCCUUGAGCUGGAUCCUACUUUGGGCCUAUUGCUGGACCUUCUUUUCUUAAGGCUCCUCUUCAGUUCCAUCCCUGUAAUUCUUUCAGACAGAAACAAGUAUGGGUCAGAGUUGUGACUGGGGAAUGGCCUCCCUCUCCCUCAUUUGAUGCUCUGUCUACUUGCUGGAGGUAGGCUCUAUAAGUUAUCUCUCCCUACUGUCGGGCAUUUCAUCUUACGUCCCUACACAUCAACUCUUAAUGUGGAAAAAGUCCAUGCUUCACAGCUCCACCUGUAAGGUCCUGCAGAUUUAGGAUUAUUAUUGCAUUGUGCUAAAUUGGGUCCUCCCAGCUCAAUGCAAGCCAUACAGAGAAUGCACCAUGGCCUUUGGUAAGGAGUCUCUCUGGUGUGUAGAGAGCACACAUUUUCCUGUGUCCUGUUCCUUUCUCCAUUCAUUAUCUUGUUCAAUCAACUGACAAAUGUACAUUGAGAAAAGAGGAUUGAAGUGAACCCUAUUGGGCUUCAGGGAUAUAAAAAGGAAGGAGACAUAGCCCAUUCACAGAAGCUGCACAGCCCAGGAGAGGUGAAGCAUCUCUUUGCCGCAAUUCUGUGGGCUUCCUUCAGUGACAUAAGGCGAUGUCUGCAGACAGGGGUAGAUUUCUGCUGUUAUCUAGUGGGUUGAUGCUGGGCUGCUACAGUUUACAUACCAGCCCCUUAUAACUAGGACUCUAUGUAGCCAAGACUUGAAAUUCAAUAAUGAAUGCUACUAGGUAAUUGUGGCUUGGAAGGUCUUUCUCCCUAUGUCCUGAUCUCUUCUUCAUUUCCAACUUCUUG